rnacentral:rRNA from 1 species
UAGGGAAUCUUCGGCAAUGGGGGCAACCCUGACCGAGCAACGCCGCGUGAGUGAAGAAGGUUUUCGGAUCGUAAAGCUCUGUUGUAAGAGAAGAACUGUGAGAAGAGUGGAAAGUUUCUCACUUGACGGUAUCUUACCAGAAAGGGACGGCUAACUACGUGCCAGCAGCCGCGGUAAUACGUAGGUCCCGAGCGUUGUCCGGAUUUAUUGGGCGUAAAGCGAGCGCAGGCGGUUUGAUAAGUCUGAAGUAAAAGGCUGUGGCUUAACCAUAGUACGCUUUGGAAACUGUCAAACUUGAGUGCAGAAGGGGAGAGUGGAAUUCCAUGUGUAGCGGUGAAAUGCGUAGAUAUAUGGAGGAACACCGGUGGCGAAAGCGGCUCUCUGGUCUGUAACUGACGCUGAGGCUCGAAAGCGUGGGGAGCGAACAGG